rnacentral:rRNA from 1 species
AGAGCGAACGCUGGCGGCAGGCUUAACACAUGCAAGUCGAGCGGGCGUAGCAAUACGUCAGCGGCAGACGGGUGAGUAACGCGUGGGAACAUACCUUUUGGUUCGGAACAACCCAGGGAAACUUGGGCUAAUACCGGAUAAGCCCUUACGGGGAAAGAUUUAUCGCCGAAAGAUUGGCCCGCGUCUGAUUAGCUAGUUGGUGAGGUAACGGCUCACCAAGGCGACGAUCAGUAGCUGGUCUGAGAGGAUGAUCAGCCACAUUGGGACUGAGACACGGCCCAAACUCCUACGGGAGGCAGCAGUGGGAAUAUUGGACAAUGGGCGCAAGCCUGAUCCAGCCAUGCCGCGUGAGUGAUGAAGGCCCUAGGGUUGCAAAGCUCUUUUGUGCGGGAAGAUAAUGACGGUACCGCAAGAAUAAGCCCGGCUAACUUCGCGCCAGCAGCCGC